rnacentral:rRNA from 1 species
UUGGAGGGCAAGUCUGGUGCCAGCAGCCGCGGUAAUUCCAGCUCCAAUAGCGUAUAUUAAAGUUGCUGCAGUUAAAAAGCUCGUAGUUGAAUUUCGGGACCAUCAUGUCGGUCGUGCCUCGGUACGUACUGGCAUUGUUGGUUUCUCCCUUCUGACGAACCAUGAUGUCAUUUAUUUGGUGUUGUGGGGAAUCAGGACUGUUACUUUGAAAAAAUUAGAGUGUUUAAAGCAGGCUCACGCUUGAAUACAUUAGCAUGGAAUAAUGAAAUAGGACGUUUGAUUCUAUUUUGUUGGUUUCUAGGAUCGACGUAAUGAUUAAUAGGGAUAGUUGGGGGCAUUAGUAUUCAAUUGUCAGAGGUGAAAUUCUUGGAUUUACUGAAGACUAACUACUGCGAAAGCAUUUGCCAAGGAUGUUUUCAUUAAUCAAGAACGAAAGUUAGGGGAUCGAAGACGACCAGAUACCGUCGUAGUCUUAACCAUAAACUAUGCCGACUAGGGAUCGGAUGAUGUUAAUUUUUUAAUGACUCAUUCGGCGCCUUACGGGAAACCAAAGUGUUUGGGUUC